rnacentral:lncRNA from 1 species
AUUUCAGAAGUGAUACAGGUAAAAUCCUGACAUACCCUAGCAUUUACCUUGCUGAUGGAAACUAUAUUCACCUAUAAAGCUCAGCUCUGGUAAAAUUAUAAUGGAACAAAGACCAUUUCAGCACUUGCAACCCAAUUAACUCCGCGUAUAAGACAUGAACCCUCGUUCUGACUGAUUUUCUCUCAGCUCCAUCAGGUAAUAUAAGCAGAAGGGUUCAUGUUACUGGUGUAUGAGAGGCUGUGCAAAGAUGUAGCCUGCCUCCGAAGAGGUGAAAAGGGAAAUAGAACAGAAUGAGUCCUAAUGUCCCUGUGGUGCCUUAGAUUUAACUAAAAGCCAUUUUCGCUGCAUGUUUACAGUUGCCAGUUAGCCCCAGGUAGAGCCUUGGCUCAGGGAGCCCUCUUAGAGCUUAACGAACAGGUCUUUUUUCUUCCCUGAGGAGAAAUAACAUGCUACUCAUAAGAGGCAACAAUAUCGAGGCAACAGACUGGGAAGGAGCAGAAUGCAGAGCAAAAGACCGAGGAACCACGUGAGAAGCACUUCAGCAGAGUGCGUUACACGUCGGAGGUUAUCUGAUUUGCGCAAAAAAGGAUAAUUAGGCCUGUAUCAGUGUCUGCCAAAAAACUGCCAAGAGCCAUAAAACGUCGUGUAUCUUUUAUCUGCGCUCUUGAAAAGGCAAAUAAGAAAACGACUCGGAGAAAGAAAAGCAAGGAGCUGAAAAAGAUAAUACCUGAGGUGAACGU